rnacentral:rRNA from 1 species
UACGUAGGGUGCGAGCGUUAAUCGGAAUUACUGGGCGUAAAGCGUGCGCAGGCGGCUUUGCAAGACAGAUGUGAAAUCCCCGUGCUCAACCUGGGAACUGCAUUUGUGACUGCAAGGCUAGAGUACGGCAGAGGGGGAUGGAAUUCCGCGUGUAGCAGUGAAAUGCGUAGAUAUGCGGAGGAACACCAAUGGCGAAGGCAAUCCCCUGGGCCUGUACUGACGCUCAUGCACGAAAGCGUGGGGAGCAAACAGG